GGUCUUGACAUACCAUUGACAGGCACAGAGAUGUGCUCUCCUUCGGGCAAUGGAUACAGGUGGUGCAUGGUUGUCGUCAGCUCGUGCCGUGAGGUGUUGGGUUAAGUCCCGCAACGAGCGCAACCCUCAUUGUUAGUUACUACCAUUCAGUUGAGGACUCUAAUGAGACUGCCAACGACAAGUUGGAGGAAGGUGGGGAUGACGUCAAAUCAUCAUGCCCUUUAUGACCUGGGCUACAAACGUACUACAAUGGCCAAUACAAAGAGAUGCGAAGCGGUGACGUGGAGCGAACCUCAGAAAGUUGGUCUCAGUUCAGAUUGAAGUCUGCAACUCGACUUCAUGAAGGCGGAAUCGCUAGUAAUCGCGGGUCAGCAGACCGCGGUGAAUACGUUCCCGGGCCUU
rnacentral:rRNA from 1 species